rfam:Oryza meridionalis cultivar OR44 (W2112) chromosome 1, whole genome shotgun sequence.
AAUAAGCGCUGCCAUGAUUUUCUGUAUCCAACUUUGAUUGUUCGUUUUAUUUGAUUUUUUUUUAUAAUUAUUAUAUUAUUUUUAUUGUUAUUAGAUUAUAAAACGUGAACAAUACUUUAUGCGUGACUUAUGUCUUUUAGUUUUUUCAAAAAAAAAAAUAAGACGAACGAUUAAAGUUCGACACGGAAACUCAUGGCUUCGCUUAUU